rnacentral:lncRNA from 1 species
CUUAACCUAGAGCAUGAAAGUGUUUCUGAUUGGUUGAACAAGAAAUGAGUUUCCUUCCAAUUGGCUGGCAAAUGAACGACGUCUUCUCUGAUUGGUUGAGUAACUCCGUUGCCAUAGCAACUGUGACGUCAAACUGGAUGGCGUGACGUCAAACGUGACCUCUAGUGAAUGACGGUUCCCGCAUUCGAUUGCGCUCUCGCCGAUCUUAGUUUCAUAUACUCGAAACCACAUCGCGCCAGCCUGCAAAAUACGGCGAUACCGAUCCAAGUGGACCAAUAAGCAACGGAAGGGCGUGUCUGACAGCAGCCACAAGCGCCGUGCGUGCAGGGAGGCGCAGCGGCCGAGCAGAAAGACGGCGACGCGGUGCCGGAAGGUUGAGACACAAGGCCGGGGACACAUAAUCAGCUGAAAGAAAUGAUCUCGAAGGCGCCGGGGAGCUACGUGGGGAGCCGCUGGCAGGAGCAUCGACGGAGCGCGAUGCCGAGGGCCAUGCAGUACAAACGAGGUGACAGACAUCAUCAUACGGGUGAUGACAGUGGCUGAUAACAAGGAGUGAUGACUGCGAGGACUGAGGCGCUUGGUGAUGGUGGCUGAUAAAAAGCGGCGAUGCUGGGGACGAGGAGCGGCGGACGCGGGAACCAAGGAGUGGCGGCGACGAAACAAGACUCAAGGGGCACAGGACCAGACCCAGCAUAGGGGCGUGGCACUACGGGUCAGAGGGGAGAGGGGGUGGGUGGCACAUGAUGUGAUUCUUCGGCUCGUGUUCUUAAAUCGGGAGCACGACGUGAAAAUAGCAUAAGAGAGUCCGAGAUCGAGGACAAAGGUAUAAAAGUGCCAUGGGAAUGACAAUGAACACACAAAAAGGAACGGAAGAAGGGUAUGUGAUAAAGCUGGCGCACAAAACAAAUUGCUGAUGAUGGAGGAGACACACAUAAUGAGGAAAUAAUAAAGCGAAGGUGAUCGAGACGACUGGAUUCAUCACAAAUGCACAACGUCGGGGACCAAGUGCGAAACAAUGAAGGGGCUAAAAUCAUAUCCCAAAAAAUUAAUUAAAAAAAUAAUAAUAAAAAAUAACAGGCCAGGAUAUACAGUGAAGGUCGUGUUUUUUCUUUUUUUCUAUUUUCUUUCUGUUACUUAUGCAGAACCCAAGACUUUGCAAAGCUGAGAAACAGUACAUAUCAUUCCCCCUGGCAAAGGAAAGUACCGCUGCGACCGUUCGGAAAGCAAGCCACCUCUGACCUGUUCAGCCCUAAAUAAAUGCCUUUAAUUUACCUCUAAAAUAAUUACCGAUCAUUUAACAAGCCUCCUCCCGCCCCAACCCCAGUGCCCACGCUCGCAAACACUUCGACAGCAACCUUUUUUUUCUGGCGGAAACCCUGACGUCGAAGGCAGGAAACUGUUACAGGAAAAGGAAACGAACAUAAGGAAGAAGACGAAGAACACGCGGAGAGACAAUAAAGACGAGCGAAAAAGAUGAUAACGAAGACAAGUAAAAACAGCGGAUAAUGAUGAAGCAAAAUGAUCACAAUUAAGAGAAACAGGAGGACUGACGAAGCAUCCACGCCAGCCACCGAUGCAACAGACUUUCCCGUCCCUGGCGAGGCUUCACCGCGGCAACGCUUUAUCAACACUAUCAGCAUUAUCAGCAUGCGCGAGGCGUCCUCUUCCGGGAGUCUGUCACUCGGGGGAUGGAAGAGGCUGUCGUGGGCUGUCUAGGUCCUUCGCACCUGACGCAAAGCAGCCUCAGCGGAGUCACAGGGCCGCCGAGCAACCUGGGGGCGUACAGGAAACUCGCCCCCCCCUCCCGCAGACCUUGCGAUGCCUCCUGACCAUAAACUGAACCAGAAAAGCGAGUUCCAGCCGGCGGGACGAGCUUAUAUUUAGGCGCGCGAUGCUCGUCAGGACACGGCCUACACAUUUUACGACAUAUUUAUCUGGACAUUUAGCUUAAACGGCCUUCGUAUU